AUCCGUUAGGAAGAGAUAUGUUUGUAAUAGGUUAAAAAUACGCGUAUAAAGUGUUCGAGAGAAUUACUUUUCUCAUUUAACACGAAGAUUUUAUUUAUAUCUUUAAACAUUUUGCUUAUAAAUUUAUAAGCCAUGGC